UCCCUCGUGGCUCAGACGGUAAAGCGUCUGCCUACAAUGCAGGAGACCUAGGUUCAAUCCCUGGAUUGGGAA
rnacentral:tRNA from 1 species